UACGAAGGGGGCUAGCGUUGUUCGGAAUCACUGGGCGUAAAGCGCACGUAGGCGGAUCUUUAAGCCAGGGGUGAAAUCCCGGGGCUCAACCUCGGAACUGCCUUUGAUACUGGGGAUCUCGAGUCCGGGAGAGGUGAGUGGAAUUGCGAGUGUAGAGGUGAAAUUCGUAGAUAUUCGCAAGAACACCAGUGGCGAAGGCGGCUCACUGGCCCGGUACUGACGCUGAGGUGCGAAAGCGUGGGGAGCAAACAGG
rnacentral:rRNA from 1 species